AUAAUGACUCUCGGCAACGGAUAUCUCGGCUCUCGCAUCGAUGAAGAACGUAGCGAACUGCGAUACUUGGUGUGAAUUGCAGAAUCCCGUGAACCAUCGAGUCUUUGAACGCAAGUUGCGCCCGAAGCCAUUUGGCCGAGGGCACGUUUGCCUGGGUGUCACA
rnacentral:rRNA from 1 species